GAUGAACGCUGGCGGCGUGCCUAAUACAUGCAAGUCGAGCGAACGGACGAGAAGCUUGCUUCUCUGAUGUUAGCGGCGGACGGGUGAGUAACACGUGGAUAACCUACCUAUAAGACUGGGAUAACUUCGGGAAACCGGAGCUAAUACCGGAUAAUAUUUUGAACCGCAUGGUUCAAAAGUGAAAGACGGUCUUGCUGUCACUUAUAGAUGGAUCCGCGCUGCAUUAGCUAGUUGGUAAGGUAACGGCUUACCAAGGCAACGAUGCAUAGCCGACCUGAGAGGGUGAUCGGCCACACUGGAACUGAGACACGGUCCAGACUCCUACGGGAGGCAGCAGUAGGGAAUCUUCCGCAAUGGGCGAAAGCCUGACGGAGCAACGCCGCGUGAGUGAUGAAGGUCUUCGGAUCGUAAAACUCUGUUAUUAGGGAAGAACAUAUGUGUAAGUAACUGUGCACAUCUUGACGGUACCUAAUCAGAAAGCCACGGCUAACUACGUGCCAGCAGCCGCGGUAAUACGUAGGUGGCAAGCGUUAUCCGGAAUUAUUGGGCGUAAAGCGCGCGUAGGCGGUUUUUUAAGUCUGAUGUGAAAGCCCACGGCUCAACCGUGGAGGGUCAUUGGAAACUGGAAAACUUGAGUGCAGAAGAGGAAAGUGGAAUUCCAUGUGUAGCGGUGAAAUGCGCAGAGAUAUGGAGGAACACCAGUGGCGAAGGCGACUUUCUGGUCUGUAACUGACGCUGAUGUGCGAAAGCGUGGGGAUCAAACAGGAUUAGAUACCCUGGUAGUCCACGCCGUAAACGAUGAGUGCUAAGUGUUAGGGGGGUUCCGCCCCUUAGUGCUGCAGCUAACGCAUUAAGCACCCCGCCUGGGGAGUACGACCGCAAGGUUGAAACUCAAAGGAAUUGACGGGGACCCGCACAAGCGGUGGAGCAUGUGGUUUAAUUCGAAGCAACGCGAAGAACCUUACCAAAUCUUGACAUCCUUUGACAACUCUAGAGAUAGAGCUUUCCCCUUCGGGGGACAAAGUGACAGGUGGUGCAUGGUUGUCGUCAGCUCGUGUCGUGAGAUGUUGGGUUAAGUCCCGCAACGAGCGCAACCCUUAAGCUUAGUUGCCAUCAUUAAGUUGGGCACUCUAAGUUGACUGCCGGUGACAAACCGGAGGAAGGUGGGGAUGACGUCAAAUCAUCAUGCCCCUUAUGAUUUGGGCUACACACGUGCUACAAUGGACAAUACAAAGGGCAGCGAAACCGCGAGGUCAAGCAAAUCCCAUAAAGUUGUUCUCAGUUCGGAUUGUAGUCUGCAACUCGACUACAUGAAGCUGGAAUCGCUAGUAAUCGUAGAUCAGCAUGCUACGGUGAAUACGUUCCCGGGUCU
rnacentral:rRNA from 1 species